rfam:Tupaia chinensis contig239568, whole genome shotgun sequence.
GGCUGGUCUGAAGGUAGUGAGGUAUCUCAAAUGAGUGUUCAAAGUCAGUUAUGGGUUGAACUCCUUGUUCCACUAUCUCCCCCCUUUCCACUACUGCAGUUGACUAGAAAAU